CCAUCCCGAACACGGAAGUUAAGCCUACUAGAGCCGAUGAUACUGCAUCGUUACCGAUGUGGGAAAGUAGGAAGCCGCCGGAU
rnacentral:rRNA from 1 species